UACGAGAGGUGCGAGCGUUAUUCGGAAUCAUUGGGCGUAAAGGGUGCGUAGGCGGCAUAAUAAGUCUGUUGUUAAAUCUCCUGGCUCAACCAGGAAACCGCAAUGGAAACUGUAGUGCUAGAGGGUGAGAGAGAGAAGUGGAAUUCCAGGAGUUAGCGGUCAAAUGCGUAGAUCUCUGGAGGAACACCGAUGGCGAAAGCAGCUUCUUGGCUCAUUUCUGACGCUGAGGCACGAAAGCGUGGGGAGCAAACAGG
rnacentral:rRNA from 1 species